AUAGAGAAGAAUGUUGUAAGAAGUAUAAAUCUGUCCAGAUGUUUGCUGAUAAAAUAUUCUGUUAAAGGGGUUCAGGGACGAACAAACAGCAUCUGUGCCUUAAAAGGUUCAUCAGUGGAUUUUCCUGACUAUCAAAUCACUAAUGAAACUGUGUUGAUGACUUGUGGCCACUAGAUGUCCCUGUAGAGUCAGAGUCAGUCAGAGCAAUCAUGAUCAUUGUCUUGUGAAAAAAAAAACUGUUCAUGAAAGAAUAAAUUGGACAAAUCUAGUUGAGUGUUGUUGACUUAUCCACCAAAAGACAAAAAUAAAAAGAAAAACACACAAUAAUGUUCUAUUUCUUAUAGUCACAAAUGUCUGGAAAAGAAAAAAAAUCAUUUGUUUUGAUUUUCUUUUAUUGAAUAACACUGAGAGUAUUUCAAUGAGUGAUUAUAUUCAAGCCUCAACAUUUAUUCUAAAAUAACUACUGUUUGUGUUAUCUAUAUUUCAGGUACUGAAGAUAACAACUGCUGGACUGUGAAUUACAUCAGCAGGAGAAUCUGUGCUCUACAAGGCUCUUCAGUGAAAAUUUCAAGUGAAUAUUCUUAUCCCAACAACCAGCUGCAACAGUCUAAAUCUUGGUUUAAAAUAACAAGAAAUGGGAAGGAAGAGGUUAAAAAGCUCAUUGAGGCUGCAGGUCAUGUGGAGUAUUAUGACAACAUGAAGAACCACCACAUCCUGGGAAUCAAUAACCUGAAGAAGAAUGACUCAGCAGAAUACACAUUCAGACUCCAACAACAAAAAGGAGAAUGGAAACUGAUUCUGAUUCUCCUGGAGUGACUUUGGUACUCACAGGUCUGGAAGUGAAGUUAACUCCUUCUGCAGUGGUGACAGAGGGUCAGAGAGUCACACUGACCUGCAGUACCAGCUGUCCUCUGACUGACAACACAAACUACAUCUGGUACCUGAACAGUCGACCUCUGACCCUGCCAGAGAACCAGAACAAACACCUGGUUCUAGACCCAGUCAGCAGUCAGCAUGCAGGAAGCUACUCCUGUGCUGUCAAAACCCACAACAACAUCAGCUCUCGUGAAAAGACUCUCACUGUCCACAGUAAAACAGGAAAAUGGACACCAGCAGCAGCUGCAGGAGUCGGAGCUGUUCUCCUGGUUAUAAUACCUCUCACUGUCUUCUGCUGGAUUAGGCCAAAGAGGACAUCCAGCCAGCCUCCAAGAACUGAAACAUCACAUCACAACAUGGAGCAGAUAAACCUUGAUCUCAUGUAUGAAAACAUCUCAGCUCAACAAACAGAGCAGGUUGACCAUCACUAUGGCAGACUUCACUUCUCUAAGGACGACACAGAUGCUCUCUACUCCACCAUCCAGACAGGGUCUUCUAACUGAACAAAUGUUUACUGUCAUGUUAUUUUCCCUGUUUGGUUUAGUGACUGUAAUAACUUCUGUAUUCAGGACAGACAAGUGCAAACACAGAGGCGAGCACAUAUUUCUCUGUUGAACGCAAAGGGAAAUAUUUUCUGCCUGAAAUACCAGAAUUCACUGUCACUCUUCAAGACUUCUGACCUUCAGCACCCUUUCAGUUCACUCUAAUGUGGACGACAAGUUUCUUAACGGUACUGACAUUCACAAGCAGAAGCAUGGCGACAAACUUGAAGAGAAGAGCCAGAAAAGCUCAUUGCAGCAAUCUGUCACUGUUUCUAGUGUGUUUAAUGUUCUGUUACUUUCU
rnacentral:lncRNA from 15 species